rnacentral:rRNA from 1 species
AUGUCACCUUCACUGCCGCCGGCCACCCGGUCUCCAUGGGCAUCGCUGCCAGAAGAUAUGAUUCGUCUUGUGGCGGGGCGCCUGCUGGCCGGCGACCUGACGGACUACGUUCGCCUCCGUGCCGUCUGCACCAACUGGCGGUCUUCCACCGUGUCUCCGCGCGGCCGAGGCGUGAUCGACCCACGCUUUCACCCGCGCCGCUGGAUGAUGUUCGCUGAGGGCCAUGGACUUCACCCCGGCCAUGAAAAUCUCUGUGGACACGUCCGGUUCUUCAACCUCGACUCGGGGAUCUUUGUCCGCGUCCGGCUCCCACUGUUGACGGAUCACUGUGUUCUUGACUCCGUGGAGGGCCUCCUGGUCCUCCAGCGAGACGAGGACACCGCCAUCCGCCUCCUCCACCCUUUCACCGGCGACAUCGUGGAGCUCCCACCCCUCACGUCUCUUGCCAUGCAACUCAAGGCUGAUUAUACGCAGGCAACCAAGCUGAAACUAAUGAGAGAUAUGUCUGCUUCCAUCUCGGUGGCUGCCGACGGAGUCGUGAGAGUCAUGGUCUUGAUUGGUACGACAUGGGCAGCUGUUGCUACCUCCCAAGAUACGGAGUGGACUAUGCUGCCUUGGAGAAUUCCGGGUCAUUACCAACCAUUGUCAUCAGGAGGCAAGCAAUAUCUGGUGCAUGAUACUUUCUUUGAAGAUAGUCCUGAAGUAUCACAGAUUUUCCAGAUGGAGGCGCACCUGCAGGAUGCACCAAAGCUGAUCGCCGCGAUCCCAAAGAAGAAACUCGCCUAUCCUCUCUAUCUGGUAGAAUGUGACUCGGAGGUCCUGGUGGUCGGGCACAAGGACAGGUCCUUCACCCACCUGGCGGUUCACAGGCUGUCGGAUCUUGUUUCAGGACGAUAUGUCCCGGUAAAAGGAAUCGGAGACAAAGUCAUAUUCGUGGGAGGACGGGCAUUGUGUGUCUCUUCCAAGAUAUUACUGCCUCCCACUACAGGCGACGCCGUGAUCUAUCGGCGUCCACGGGAGUUAACAUUUUCUCAAUAUUGUCUUGGUAGUAGCACCUGGUCGCUAGCAACCGAUGAAUGCAGCAUGAGCAUGAGCGGCUUGACACAAGGACCAUGUAGCCUUAUCCCCCAUGUCUUUACAUGUUGCUCUCGUCGUCACUGGAACAAGGGACUAAUGUAUUGGCGGGAUAAUGAACCACUCACGUGGAAGGUGAACCAAAAGUUUCGAGACGGGGCCUAA